rnacentral:rRNA from 1 species
UACAGGGGGGGCAAGCGUUGUUCGGAAUUACUGGGCGUAAAGGUCUGUAGGUGGCCAACUAAGUCAGACGUGAAAUCCCUCAGCUUAACUGGGGAACUGCGUCUGAUACUGGAUGGCUCGAGUGUGGGAGAGGAAUGCGGAAUUCCAGGUGUAGCGGUGAAAUGCGUAGAUAUCUGGAGGAACACCGGUGGCGAAGGCGGCAUCCUGGACCGGCAUUGACGCUGAGGCGCGAAAGCCAGGGGAGCAAACGGG